rnacentral:rRNA from 1 species
AGUGAACGCUGGCGGUAGGCCUAACACAUGCAAGUCGAACGGCAGCACAGUAAGAGCUUGCUCUUACGGGUGGCGAGUGGCGGACGGGUGAGGAAUACAUCGGAAUCUACUUUUUCGUGGGUGAUAACGUAGGGAAACUUACGCUAAUACCGCAUACGACCUACGGCUGAAAGCAGGGGAUCUUCGGACCUUGCGCGAUUGAAUUAGCCGAUGUCGGAUUAGCUAGUUGGCGGGGUAAAGGCCCACCAAGGCGACGAUCCGUAGCUGACCUGAGAGGAUGAUCAGCCACACUGGAACUGAGACACGGUCCAGACUCCUACGGGAGGCAGCAGUGGGGAAUAUUGGACAAUGGGCGCAAGCCUGAUCCAGCCAUACCGCGUGGGUGAAGAAGGCCUUCGGGUUGUAAAGCCCUUUUGUUGGGAAAGAACAGCAGCAGGUUAAUACCCCGCUGUUCUGACGGUACCCAAAGAAUAAGCACCGGCUAACUUCGUG